CUGUUAUCCCUGAAAUUGUUUUAAUUCAAACUACUUAGGUACAAUAAACAUAAACUCCAAAAUGUUUGCACAAUUACUCCAUGUUUUUAGUUUGUUGUACGAUUUGCAUGAUACUUUUCAUUCUAUUGAAUUGUUUAAAUUGAAUGUACUUAACUUAGCUUGUUUUAGUCUGUUGUCAAUGCAACGCAAUACAAGGAAGAUGUUGAUUGGCUCUUUGAACUGACGUCAGACAAGGAUGCAGCGCGCAUUUUCAUCAACGUUUGCUGAUUCAACUUCAAAAGCAAGGCUAAUCAAGAUGAUCUGGAAAUGAUUUUAUGAAAGCUUCAUUGUGGACAAGUUU